AUUGAACGCUGGCGGCAGGCCUAACACAUGCAAGUCGAGCGGAUGAAGGGAGCUUGCUCCUGGAUUCAGCGGCGGACGGGUGAGUAAUGCCUAGGAAUCUGCCUGGUAGUGGGGGAUAACGUCCGGAAACGGGCGCUAAUACCGCAUACGUCCUGAGGGAGAAAGGGGGGGAUCUUCGGACCGCACGCUAUCAGAUGAGCCUAGGUCGGAUUCGCUAGUUGGUGGGGUAAAGGCCUACCAAGGCGACGAUCCGUAACUGGUCUGAGAGGAGGAUCAGUCACACUGGAACUGAGACACGGUCCAGACUCCUACGGGAGGCAGCAGUGGGGAAUAUUGGACAGUGGGCGGAAGCCUGAUCCAGCCAUGCCGCGUGUGUGAAGAAGGUCUUCGGAUUGGAAAGCACUUUAAGUUGGGAGGAAGGGCAGUAAGUUAAUACCUUGCUGUUUUGACGUUACCAACAGAAUAAGCACCGGCUAACUUCGUG
rnacentral:rRNA from 1 species